rnacentral:lncRNA from 1 species
CUUUCUCUUGCAGCCAGGGUCUGUUUUGUCUUCACUGUGACAGCCAGAAGUGCUGGGGAAUCUAAGUCCCCCAGGUGCCGUCUUCCUGCUAAUGACUGACAGAGGUCACGGAUCCAUCCUCCAGCUCCCUUGCCCCUCCAGUGGGAUAACUGUCAGGUGGAUUUCCACCUCCCAUUUCCCAGGGGAUUAAGCCCUUAUUGCCCACAGCAGUAACUCACUAAGGAUGUAUCCUUUGCUAGCUGCCUUCUCUUCCCCUCUUUCUUGCUUAUUCUCUACCGAUGCUUCCUAGGGGCUAUUUCCUAAAUAGUCUACUUAUCCUCAAAUCCUUGUCGCAGGCUUGGCUCCUGGGGGAAUUCAAAUUAAGACAUUCUCAAAGUAGGGUUCUAAAGGUCCAGUUUGGCUUAGCUGAUCCUCCAUUCAAGACUUGGAUAAAUGACUCUGCUUCAGGCUGUUGGAUUGGUUGGGUUCUGUCGGUGCCAAAUCCAAGGUUGGGUUUAC